rnacentral:rRNA from 1 species
ACGGAGGGUGCGAGCGUUGUCCGGAAUCAUUGGGCGUAAAGGGCGCGUAGGUGGCGGGACAAGCGUGCGGUGAAAGCCUGGGGCUCAACCCCGGGUCGGCCGUGCGAACUGUUUUGCUUGAGCACUGUAGAGGCAGGCGGAAUUCCGGGUGUAGCGGUGGAAUGCGUAGAUAUUCGGAAGAACACCAGUGGCGAAGGCGGCUCACUGACCCGGUACUGACGCUGAGGUGCGAAAGCGUGGGGAGCAAACAGGA